AUUCUCAAAGUGAAGGCCGUACCUUGACCUAUAAUGGUUUACUUUUAUAAUUGUAACUUGGAUGGAGAGUUGUCUCAUUGGCACUCAUACCACAUCUUCCUAUAUCUAUGAAAUAUGGAUCCGGAGUAAUCAUGGACAAGACAGCGAUUAGUCAAUAAAACUCAACAUGAAAUAAGGUGUAAACGUAGAUAUGACAGCGAUUUUUUAACUUUAAUAAAUAUGAGAUAUUAUGUACAUGUAGAUGAGGCAGCAAUUAGUUUAACUAAAUAAACGUUGAUGAGACAGUGAUUGGUUAUCCAAAAUAUUUUAGAAUGAGACAGUGAUUAAUUAACCAAAAAAAAAAAAAAACCAAACAAA